UCCUUCGGGGCCAGGUGGAGAAUAGAGAACCGGGUGUGAAUCCCGGGCGGUACCGCCACUGUGAACGUGGAGGCCGCACACAUGACGAAAGUCGGUCAUUGGGGUGCUUCCCUGAGAAGGCUGUGUGCAGGCUGAUGAUGCGUGAGCCAGGAGAACUGCUGAAGC
rnacentral:ncRNA from 1 species